AGGCCGAGUCGUCUGCAUUAUUCGGAAGCAGCAAACGGCAAUAUUGCACUCGUCCCGGCCUGA
rnacentral:pre_miRNA from 1 species